rnacentral:lncRNA from 1 species
GGGUGUAUAUGGGCUUGGGUUAACCUAAUCUCCCAUAGAGUUGGUCAAGGGAGUUUUGGGUUUGGGUCACUUGACCCUGUGUUUAUAUAUACAUGUACUUGUAUAGGUUGAUUAAGCCAAGGGAAUACAAGAACCAUUUCUCCCAAGUCUCUCUCUCUCUUCUCCCUCUCUCUCCAACCAUUCUCCACACCCCAGGAGCAAGAAACCCUAGGGUUUCUUGCCGCCAGGCCCAAAAAGGAAAGAAAAGCAA